rnacentral:rRNA from 1 species
CAGUAGCCGCGGGAAUACGUAGGGUGCAAGCGUUAAUCGGAAUUACUGGGCGUAAAGCGUGCGCAGGCGGUUCUAUAAGACAGAUGUGAAAUCCCCGGGCUCAACCUGGGAACUGCAUUUGUGACUGUAGAGCUGGAGUGCGGCAGAGGGGGAUGGAAUUCCGCGUGUAGCAGUGAAAUGCGUAGAUAUGCGGAGGAACACCGAUGGCGAAGGCAAUCCCCUGGGCCUGCACUGACGCUCAUGCACGAAAGCGUGGGGAGCAAGCAGGAUUAGAUACCCCAGUAGUCCCUGUCUCUUAUAC